ensembl:lncRNA
AACUAUUGCUCCUCCGGCUGCUUAUAGUUAGUCAUAGCCAUGGCGCCGGAUGAAAAAAUUGUAGAGUGGCAAACAAACGAGAUAAUUGAAUCGCUGUUUAACGACGAAAACAGUGCGAGGCCCCGUAUGAUAGAUGGUGAUUUGGAGACUGACAGUUCAGGCUACAGAGGCUGCAUUUGAACGUGGCGUGGAGCUCCUAUGUAAGAGUCAUGUCGCUCAGAAAGCUGACAUUGCUCCAGAGAUGCAGCUGAUCCGGGCCUCAGCAGCUAUUGGACUUUAUCUGAAAAACUCAUACCCAGAGAUGAAAGAGAAUGUCAAGACAGCCUUGGCUUCAUUCCUCAACAGGCGGGUGGGCAAAUGGAUCACUGAGAAAGGUGGAUGGGUAAGUAAACUUUUAAGAUUCAGAUCACUUCAGAUUUAAGUCUAAAUAUGACAGUAAACCUCAACCAAAAAAGGUUGACUGGGGUAUUGAUGACAAGCUGCCGGAUGGACUGUGUCGAAACCUUUUCUUCUUCUUUUUUUGUUAAUGCAAUGACUCAAGAAUCUUGGGAUUUCCAAAUAUAUUUUUCUGUGUAUUAGAUGUUAAUCAUAAUAAGGUUGGAGGUCAGACACUGAAAAAAAUGACAGCUGAAGUAGCCUUUCAAUUGUCCCACUGCAAAUAUUGGUUAAACAAUAUGUUUAUGUAAAUACACUUGUAAUGAGUAAGAAUACCAUGGUAAUUUGGGGCUUUUAUUGAUUUCUUUGAACUGCUCUUUUUCCAGGGUGGAAUCACAGUAAGGCAUACAUCUCAUACAUUUUCUCCAAUCCACACAAGCUCAUAUAUAUAUAUAUAUAGGGCUGCUCGAUUAUGGCAAAAAUGAUAAUCACGAUUAUUUUCACUGAAAUUGAGAUCUCGAUUAUUUGACGAUAUUUAUUUAACAGUAACAAUGUAUUGAAUAAUGACUUUAAAGAUUGUCAAAAA